UAUUUUAUGCCACGUUAGCAAUUUUAGUUUGAAAAGUCUUAUUUUAUGUGAUGGUUGAAAAGUAAAAAAGAAAAGCGUUUGGAGAACACGUGUCAAUUUCGGAUUGGUGAAUUUCGUUUUAUUGUGUCGGUCAAUUAAACGAGUUGAAAUUUUAUGCCAUGUCAGCCUUAGGAUAGAAAAUUUCUUAGGAUUUUAGAAAUUGGAAAUUUCCGGGAACGAAAAACGAAAACGAAAAUGAAAAAUAAAUAAAUUAAGAUUAAUUAGAAUUAAUUAAGAAAAAUAAAUUAAUUAAUUAAAUUAAAUUGAUGAAUAAUAAUAUUGAGAAAAUUAGUUUUAUUUGGUGUUAAUAAAUAAAAUUGAGUGUUAAAAUGAAAAAAAAAAAAUGAAUUGAAAAUCAAAUAAAACAAUUAGAAUAAAGAAAAGAAAAGAAAAUAAAAUAAAAGAAAUAAUAACAAUAAUAAUGGAUUGGGCUUAGUUUUUGAGUUGGGCUUGGAUUAUGUGGGCUGGUGGCUUUUAAAAGCAAGUGGGCUGGUGGUUUUUUUAAAAGCCAUGUGAAGUGGGCUGGGCUGUUAAAAAAAAAAAAAAAGGGAAAAGGAGAAGUGGGAAAACUGGUAGCAGCACGCACGCGGGAGAGAGAGAGAGAAAAGGGCACUGUUCAUAAAUUAGGGCACUCGUCGGAAUUUUGAUCGGCCGUUUGGACGGCCAAACGAUCUCCGUUUCGGCCCAAAUUCGGAGGAAGUACUCUAUUCGACUAGACGAACAAGCCUGCGGUGGCUGAUUUUGUUUUUAACGGCCAAAUUUUCAGAUCUGAGGUAGGGGACCCUAAUCCUAAAACUCAAAUUUUUUAUGUUUUUCCCUUGAAAAAAAAUUGUAAAUAUUGUCAUUAUGAGUUAAUUAGGAAUUAUGGAUGUUGUGUGAAUUUUUCUAGAAUAUUUGGAAUUUGUUUGGAAUUUUUGGAAUUUCGGGAAAUUGAUUUUGAUUGGUAAUUAAUUAUUUUGAAAGGUUAAAAAUUAUUAGAUGGGUUGGAAAAUUCCAAAAUUUAGGUUAAAUUUUAAAUAUAAUGAUUUGUGAAUUUUUAGGCAUUGGUUUGAAUAUUUUCGAAAAUUUUAGGGUAAAUAGUUAGUUAAUUUUGGAUAUUAGAAAUUAUUAUAAUGGUUGAAAAAUUUUGUAAGUGUGAUAAAAUCUCAAGAUUGUUGAUAUGCAAUUUUUUUUAUAUUUAUUUGGGAUAUUAUCGGAAAUUGUAAUGUGUGAAAUUGUUUGAUUGGAUUAUUGGUGAAUGUUGAGAUUGUUGAAUUAUUGAGGAACAUUGGAAUUGUGGCAUUCAUUGCAUCAUGGUUAUGUGAAAAAAAAAAUAAAUAAAUAAAAUCAUGAAGAUUGUGAAAAGUGUAUGAAAUGGAAAAAAAUGAAACAGAGAUGAGAAGUGGAAGCCCGUGUGAGGCGAAUUAAGAAGGGAGAGAGAUCCCUAGGGUGAAAGACCCAAAAGUUUACCCCGGGAAGACUUCGAAUGGGGAGUGUAUUUGGGUGCGGACGCGUAUCCUUCGGUGAAAGCCCGAGAACAAUAGUGCAUUGUAUGACUGUGUGUCACACGUUCAUGUGCAUUCAUGUAAUUGUUGAAUAUUGUGAAAUUGGGUAUAAAAUUAUAUAUAUUAAACUAUGUGGUUUGAUUGACACUGUUGAAUUGUUCCUGUGGUGUUGAAGUGUUCUUUUCGUAUUCUUUGAACUUAGUAAUCCCUUUAAAACCUUGGGUGUUAGACACCCUACUGAGCAAUGUGGAAAUGCUCACCCCUUCCUUGUUACACCUUUUUAGAUGCAGAUAUCUCGCCUGAGGAUCCACAGGUGGGACAGGGAGGACUUCAGGAUGCUCCUGGAGCGGCCUAGUGGAGCGUGGCAUUUAUUUGUUAUUGUGUUCCUUUUUGGAUUUUGGGGAUUUGUUUUAGUAAUUAUGACUCAUGGAUUAGCUAUGAAGCUUUAUUUGAUUAAGUUGUUAAUUGUGAACUUUUAUUUUGGACUAUAAUGAAUAUUUAUUUAAUCUUGUUGUUUUGAGUAGUUUUGGGAUAUUGUAAUUUAUGAGAAUUCUAGUGAGAUGUAUAAAAAAAAAAAAAAUCCAGAGUGUUUUGGUUGACUGCCAACAUGGAAUAGGAGGAACCCUUAGGGUCAAACCUUUGACCUGGGGUCACGGGUCAAAUUUUGGGUUGCCCGGAAUUUGGGUCGUGACAGCGUGGUAUCAGAGCCAAGGUUGCAAUAAUACCUUGGGAUCAAUGUUUGUGGGUGUUUAUGUGUGUUGUGAUGUUAUGAUUUUUGUAUGUGUUAAUUAUCAAGUUGAUGAUUAAUUGAAUUAUGUAUUGAGAGCGUAUGAAAGUGAAAGUUUUGAUAAUUGUUGAAGUUGUUAAGUGUGUAUAUGGGAAAUUUAUUUUUGCUCACCUUGGUAAUGUGGUUGGAUUAGGGUUUGUUAAACUUGAAAUGGCGGGAAGGACCAGAGGAGGAAGAUCAGAGAGGAAUGAGGAGUUGGAGACAGUUAGAGAAGAACUCCGAGAAGUAAGAAGAGAGUUGAGAGAAACUGUUGAAUUGAUGAGAGGCCAGGGUUCCAGGAGAGCAGGAGAUACCCAGGGCCAUGAGGAUUCAGGCCACUCACAUAGGAGGAGCCGCACUGAGAGGCCAGUAAUGAGCCAAAUGGAAGCAAUGAAGAGGUUCAUGGUGAUGCAGCCUCCAUCUUUUAAUGGAGAGCCCAGUGCUGAAGCAGCUGAGCAUUGGUUGAGGAGGAUGAGAAGAAUUCUGGUGGGACUGGACAUACCUGAGGAAAGAAGGGUAGGUCUGGCAACAUAUAUGCUUGUGGACAAAGCUGAUUUCUGGUGGGAAUCAAUGAAAAGGGUAUAUGAUAUUGAGGUUAUGACCUGGGAGGAAUUUGAGAGAAUCUUCCUAGGCAAGUAUUUUGGGGAAGUGGCUAAGCAUGCCAAGAGGAUGGAGUUUGAGCACCUCAUCCAAGGAACCAUGUCGGUGUUGGAGUACGAGUCACGUUUCUCAGAGUUGUCUCGUUUUGCUUUGGGGAUGAUCAGUGAGGAAGGAGAAAAAGCUAGGAGGUUCCAGCAGGGGUUGAGGCCUGCUAUUAGGAACAGAUUAGUCCCACUGGCAAUAAGGGAUUAUUCUGAGUUGGUUAAGAGGGCUUUGUUGGUGGAGCAGGACAUUGACGAAACCAACCAAAUUCGAGAGCAAAAGGGGGACAGAAAAGGGAAACAAAGAAUGGGGGAAAGUUCCCAGGGGCCACAGCAGAGGCAGAGGACUCAGCAGUUUGAGAGGCGUUCCUCGUUCUAUGCAGGAGAGGGGCAGAUUGCUCAGAGGGCGGCUGCUAAUAGAGUAUGUUAUGGUUGUGGAGCAGGAGACCAUUUAUGGAGGGCUUGCCCAUUGCGAGGCACACAACAGGCUCGACCUCAGUCUCAGGGAAGUUCUCAGCAACAGUCAGUAGUGUCUUUCCAGCCCCCUCAGCUUCAGUUGCCUUACUAUCAGAUGCCACAAUUACCCCCAGCAGCGCAGGGAACCAGGACAACUACCACGAGUCAGACCCGCUCUUCUCAGGGGUCGAAUGCUAGAGGUAGGGGAAGGCAGACAGCAGGAAGAGUUUUUGCCUUGACCCCAACAGAGCCAGAGGAGGAUGCCCUUUUGGUGGAAGGUAUGAUUUUGGUAUAUAGUACUUGGGUGCGUGUUUUGUUUGAUACUGGUGCAACUCAUUCUUUCAUUUCUGCAUCUUGUGCUAAUGCAAUGGGGUUGAAAUCAGAAAGGGUAGAGAAUUUGUUACUUAUUGAGUCUCCUAUGGGUACGAACUCUAGAGUUGAUAGAAUAUGCAAGGGGUGUGUUAUUACCUUGGCAGAUAGAGCACUAAAUGUGGAUUUGAGGAUUUUGGAUAUGACUAGGUAUGAUGUUAUUUUGGGAAUGGAUUGGUUGGCAGUGUAUAGAGCGGUUAUUGAUUGUCAUCGCCGCAAGAUAAUAUUUUGUUUGCCAGAGGGAUUUGAGGUUUGUUUUGUUGGAGGGAAGUGUGUUAAUUUGCCUUUUUCACAGUCCGAUCCGUGCUAUCAAUAUGUGUUGAGGAAGGGAUCAAUAAAUUUCCUAGCUUGCCUUCGUGGUAAGGAGAAAGCCCAGAAGGACAUUACAGAAAUUCCAGUGGUGAGGAAGUUUCAGGAUGUAUUCCCAGAUGAGUUACCAGGUUUACCACCGCAUAGAGAGUUUGAUUUCUCUAUUGAAGUAUACCCAGGAACUGAUCCUAUUUCAGUAUCCCCUUAUAGGAUGGCCCCUCUUGAGUUGAAAGAAUUGAAAACUCAGUUAGAUGAAUUGUUGGGUAAGGGUUUUAUUCGUCCUAGUACAUCGCCAUGGGGAGCCCCAGUGUUGUUUGUGAAGAAGAAGGAUGGCACACUAAGGUUAUGUAUUGACUAUAGGAAGUUGAAUAGAGUUACUCUGAAGAACAAGUAUCCUCUUCCAAGGAUAGAUGACUUGUUUGAUCAGUUGAAGGGUGCAAAGUAUUUUAGUAAGAUUGACUUGAGAACUGGGUAUCAUCAAUUGAGGGUUAGGGAAGAAGAUGUUUCUAAAACUGCUUUUAGAACGAGAUAUGGGCAUUAUGAGUUCUUAGUCAUGCCUUUUGGGUUAACUAAUGCCCCUGCUGCUUCAUGGAUUUAAUGAACAGGGUAUUUCGUGCUUACUUGGAUCAGUUUGUGAUUGUCUUUGUGGAUGACAUCUUGAUCUACUCCAGGAGUUUGGAGGAGCAUAAGCAGCAUUUGGUGACCACCCUUGGAACUUUGAGAAGGCAUCAGUUGUAUGGGAAGUUGGACAAAAGUGAGUUUUGGCUUACUGAAGUGAACUUCUUAGGCCAUGUGGUUUCUGAGGCAGGAAUAGCAGUAGACCAUUCAAAGGUGGAAGCUGUACAGGAGUGGCAAAGGCCUACCAAUGUAUUUGAGGUUAGAAGUUUCUUGGGGUUGGCUGGAUAUUAUAGGAGGUUUGUGGAAGACUUCUCUAGAAUUGCAGCACCAAUGACUCGAUUGACUAGAAAAGGGGUGAAGUUUGAUUGGAAUGAGGAGUGUGAGAAUGCUUUCCAAGAGUUGAAGCGGAAAUUGACCACUACUCCAGUGUUAACUGCUCCUAUUAGUGGAGAGUUGUUUACAAUUUAUUGUGAUGCUUCCACAGUGGGGUUAGGGUGUGUGCUAAUGCAGCAAGGCAAGGUGGUAGCUUAUGCCUCAAGACAAUUAAAGCAGCAUGAGCGGAAUUAUCCAGCACAUGAUUUGGAGCUUGCAGCAGUGGUGUUUGCCCUUAAGACUUGGAUACACUAUUUGUAUGGAGAGAAGUUUGAGGUGUACUCUGAUCAUAAGAGUUUGAAAUACAUUUUCACUCAAAAAGAUCUGAACUCUAGGCAGAGGAGAUGGAUGGAGACAUUGGAAGAUUAUGAUUUUGCCCUUCAUUACCAUCCUGGGAAGGCAAAUGUUGUAGCAGAUGCUUUGAGUAGAAAGAGCUAUGGCCAGUUGUCUAGCUUGGGGUUGAGAGAGUUUGAGAUGCAUGCAGUUAUUGAGGACUUUGAGCUAUGUCUUAGUCAGGAAGGACGUGGUCCAUGCUUGUACAGCAUAUCAGCUAGACCAAUGGUUAUCCAGAGAAUAGUGGAGGCCCAAGUUCAUGAUGAGUUUUUAGAAAAGGUUAAAGCCCAAUUGGUAGCAGGUGAAAUAGAUGAAAAUUGGUCUAUGUAUGAAGAUGGGAGUGUGAGGUUCAAAGGGAGAUUGUGUGUGCCAAAAGAUGUGGAGUUGAGAAAUGAACUUCUAGCAGAUGCUCAUAGGGCGAAAUAUACCAUCCACCCUGGGAAUACCAAGAUGUAUCAAGACUUAAAGAGACAGUUUUGGUGGAGUGGGAUGAAGAGAGAUGUUGCUCAGUUUGUAGCUAAUUGUCAGAUUUGUCAGCAAGUGAAGGCUGAACACCAAAGGCCUGCAGGGUUGUUGCAACCUUUACCUAUACCUGAGUGGAAGUGGGAUAAUAUCACUAUGGACUUUGUGAUAGGGUUGCCAAGAACUAGAAGCAAGAAAAAUGGAGUUUGGGUGAUUGUGGACCGUCUUACUAAGUCAACUCAUUUUCUAGCCAUGAAAACUACUGAUUCCAUGAACUCUUUGGCUAAGUUGUAUAUACAGGAGAUUGUGAGAUUGCAUGGGAUACCUAUAUCUAUAGUGUUUGACAGGGACCCUAAGUUUACUUCUCAGUUUUGGCAGAGUUUACAAAGGGCUUUGGGCACCCAACUAAAUUUUAACACCGCUUUUCACCCUCAGACAGAUGGUCAGUCAGAGAGAGUGAUUCAGAUCUUAGAAGACAUGUUAAGGGCUUGUGUUUUGGAUUUUGGAGGAAAUUGGGCAGAUUACUUACCUUUAGCAGAGUUUGCUUAUAACAACAGUUACCAAUCUAGUAUUGGCAUGGCACCUUAUGAAGCACUCUAUGGGAGACCUUGUAGAUCGCCCUUGUGUUGGAUAGAGAUGGGUGAGAGUCAUUUAUUGGGACCUAAGAUUGUCCAAGAGACUACAGAGAAGAUACAACUCAUCAAAGAAAAACUUAAGACUGCCCAAGAUAGACAGAAAAGUUAUGCAGACAAAAGGAGAAGGCCCUUGGAGUUUGAGGAAGGGGAUUGGGUGUUUGUAAAAGUGUCCCCUCGAAGAGGCAUAUUUCGAUUUGGGAAGAAGGGGAAGUUAGCCCCUAGGUUUGUGGGACCAUUUCAGAUUGAUAAGAGAGUUGGCCCAGUGGCAUACAAGUUAAUUUUGCCUCAACAGUUGUCCCUUGUGCAUGAUGUUUUCCAUGUGUCGAUGCUAAGGAAGUGUACUCCAGAUCCAACUUGGGUAGUGGACUUGCAAGAUGUUCAGAUUAGUGAAGAUACUUCUUAUGUGGAGGAACCUUUACGAAUUCUGGAAGUUGGAGAGCAUAGGUUCAAGAACAAGGUGAUUCCUGCAGUCAAAGUGUGGUGGCAACACCAUGGGAUAGAAGAAGCCACUUGGGAACCUGAGGAAGAAAUGAGACGACACUAUCCGCAACUCUUCUACGAAUUUUAAGGUAAGCUAGUUUAAAUUUCGGGACGAAAUUUCUUUUAGGGGGGUAGGAUGUAAUGACCGGGUAUUUUAUGCCACGUUAGCAAUUUUAGUUUGAAAAGUCUUAUUUUAUGUGAUGGUUGAAAAGUAAAAAAGAAAAGCGUUUGGAGAACACGUGUCAAUUUCGGAUUGGUGAAUUUCGUUUUAUUGUGUCGGUCAAUUAAACGAGUUGAAAUUUUAUGCCAUGUCAGCCUUAGGAUAGAAAAUUUCUUAGGAUUUUAGAAAUUGGAAAUUUCCGGGAACGAAAAACGAAAACGAAAAUGAAAAAUAAAUAAAUUAAGAUUAAUUAGAAUUAAUUAAGAAAAAUUAAUUAAUUAAUUAAAUUAAAUUGAUGAAUAAUAAUAUUGAGAAAAUUAGUUUUAUUUGGUGUUAAUAAAUAAAAUUGAGUGUUAAAAUGAAAAAAAAAAAUGAAUUGAAAAUCAAAUAAAACAAUUAGAAUAAAGAAAAGAAAAGAAAAUAAAAUAAAAGAAAUAAUAACAAUAAUAAUGGAUUGGGCUUAGUUUUUGAGUUGGGCUUAGAUUAUGUGGGCUGGUGGCUUUUAAAAGCAAGUGGGCUGGUGGUUUUUUUAAAAGCCAUGUGAAGUGGGCUGGGCUGUUAAAAAAAAAAAAAAAAAGGGAAAAGGAGAAGUGGUAAAACUGGUAGCAGCACGCACGCGGGAGAGAGAGAGAGAAAAGGGCACUGUUCAUAAAUUAGGGCACUCGUCGGAAUUUUGAUCGGCCGUUUGGACGGCCAAACGAUCUUCGUUUCGGCACAAAUUCGGAGGAAGUACUCUAUUCGACUAGACGAACAAGCCUGCGGUGGCUGAUUUUGUUUUUAACGGCCAAAUUUUCAGAUCUGAGGUAGGGGACCCUAACCCUAAAACUCAAAUUUUUAUGCUUUUCCCUUGAAAAAAAAAUUGUAAAUAUUGUCAUUAUGAGUUAAUUAGGAAUUAUGGAUGUUGUGUGAAUUUUUCUAGAAUAUUUGGAAUUUGUUUGGAAUUUUUGGAAUUUCGGGAAAUUGAUUUUGAUUGAUAAUUAAUUAUUUUGAAAGGUUAAAAAUUAUUAGAUGGGUUGGAAAAUUCCAAAAUUUAGGUUAAAUUUUAAAUAUAAUGAUUUGUGAAUUUUUAGGCAUUGGUUUGAAUAUUUUCGAAAAUUUUAGGGUAAAUAGUUAGUUAAUUUUGGAUAUUAGAAAUUAUUAUAAUGGUUGAAAAAUUUUGUAAGUGUGGUAAAAUCUCAAGAUUGUUGAUAUGCAAUUUUUUUUUAUAUUUAUUUGGGAUAUUAUCGGAAAUUGUAAUGUGUGAAAUUGUUUGAUUGGAUUAUUGGUGAAUGUUGAGAUUGUUGAAUUAUUGAGGAACAUUGGAAUUGUGGCAUUCAUUGCAUCAUGGUUAUGUGAAAAAAAAAAAAUAAAUAAAAUCAUGAAGAUUGUGAAAAGUGUAUGAAAUGGAAAAAAAUGAAACAGAGAUGAGAAGUGGAAGCCCGUGUGAGGCGAAUUAAGAAGGGAGAGAGAUCCCUAGGGUGAAAGACCCAAAAGUUUACCCCGGGAAGACUUCGAAUGGGGAGUGUAUUUGGGUGCGGACGCGUAUCCUUCGGUGAAAGCCCGAGAACAAUAGUGCAUUGUAUGACUGUGUGUCACACGUUCAUGUGCAUUCAUGUAAUUGUUGAAUAUUGUGAAAUUGGGUAUAAAAUUAUAUAUAUUAAACUAUGUGGUUUGAUUGACACUGUUGAAUUGUUCCUGUGGUGUUGAAGUGUUCUUUUCGUAUUCUUUGAACUUAGUAAUCCCUUUAACCCCUUGGGUGUUAGGCACCCUAUUGAGCAAUGUGGAAAUGCUCACCCCUUCCUUGUUACACCUUUUUAGAUGCAGAUAUCUCUCCUGAGGAUCCACAGGUGGGACAGGGAGGACUUCAGGAUGCUCCUGGAGCGGCCUAGUGGAGCGUGGCAUUUAUUUGUUAUUGUGUUCCUUUUUGGAUUUUGGGGAUUUGUUUUAGCAAUUAUGACUCAUGGAUUAGCUAUGAAGCUUUAUUUGAUUAAGUUGUUAAUUGUGAACUUUUAUUUUGGACUAUAAUGAAUAUUUAUUUAAUCUUGUUGUUUUGAGUAGUUUUGGGAUAUUGUAAUUUAUGAGAAUUCUAGUGAGAUGUAUAAAAAAAAAAAAAAUCCAGAGUGUUUUGGUUGACUGCCAACAUGGAAUAGGAGGAACCCUUAGGGUCAAACCUUUGACCUGGGGUCACGGGUCAAAUUU
rnacentral:lncRNA from 1 species